CCUACGGGUGGCUGCAGUGGGGAAUAUUGGACAAUGGGCGAAAGCCUGAUCCAGCCAUGCCGCGUGUGUGAAGAAGGCCUUCGGGUUGUAAAGCACUUUCAGUGGGGAAGAAAGCCUUGGGGCUAAUACCCUCGAGGAUGGACAUCACCCACAGAAGAAGCACCGGCUAACUCCGUGCCAGCAGCUGCGGUAAUACGGAGGGUGCGAGCGUUAAUCGGAAUUACUGGGCGUAAAGCGCGCGUAGGCGGUCUGAUAAGCCGGUUGUGAAAGCCCCGGGCUCAACCUGGGAACGGCAUCCGGAACUGUCAGGCUAGAGUGCAGGAGAGGAAGGUAGAAUUCCCGGUGUAGCGGUGAAAUGCGUAGAGAUCGGGAGGAAUACCAGUGGCGAAGGCGGCCUUCUGGACUGACACUGACGCUGAGGUGCGAAAGCGUGGGUAGCAAACAGGAUUAGAUACCCGGGUCGUC
rnacentral:rRNA from 1 species